rnacentral:rRNA from 1 species
GAUGAACGCUAGCUACAGGCUUAACACAUGCAAGUCGAGGGGAAACGACAUUGAAGCUUGCUUCGAUGGUCGUCGACCGGCGCACGGGUGAGUAACGCGUAUCCACCCUGCCUUUGACCAAGGGAUAACCCGUCGAAAGUCGGCCUAAUACCUUAUGCAGUCGUCGGAAGUCAUCUGAUGACGACGAAAGAUUUCAUUGGCGAGAGAUGGGGAUGCUUCUGUUUAGCUUGUUGGCGGGAUAACGGCCCACCAAGGCAACGAUCAGUAGGGGUUCUGAGAGGAAGGUCCCCCACAUUGGAACUGAGACACGGUCCAAACUCCUACGGGAGGCAGCAGUGAGGAAUAUUGGUCAAUGGACGAGAGCCUGAACCAGCCAAGUAGCGUGCAGGAUGACGGCCCUAUGAGUUGUAAACUGCUUUUAUGCGGGGAUAAAGUGAGGGACGUGUCCUUCAUUGCAGGUACCGCAUGAAUAAGGACCGGCUAAUUCCGUG